rnacentral:rRNA from 1 species
UACAGAGGGUGCGAGCGUUAAUCGGAAUUACUGGGGCGUAAAGGGCGCGUAGGCGGGAUGGCAAGUCGGUCGUGAAAUCCCUCGGCUCAACCGAGGAACGUCGAUCGAUACUGCUGUUCUUGAGGAUUGCAGAGGAGACUGGAAUUCCCGGUGUAGCGGUGAAAUGUGGUAGAGAUCGGGAGGAACACCGAUGGCGAAGGCAGAUCUCUGGGCCGUAACUGACGCUGAGGAGCGAAAGCAUGGGGAGCGAACAGG